rnacentral:lncRNA from 1 species
GGAAGAAUAAACAACUCCCUGAAUGAGGGUGUGCUGCAAGUUGAUCUCUUUACUUAACUUCUCCUAGAAAAGAAGAAAGAGAGUCAUCUUGUGGUACAACGUAUGAAGUUUGUCAGGAAGUUCCUAUUUUUGCAGAGCGGAAUCCCAGACUGAACAUCAGGAUGCUGAAGAGAAGGCAAUGUAGUAGAGACUCCACAACUGUAUCCAUGCUAAUGUGCCAACCUUCUGGUUCUCCAAAAUCUGUACAUCUGCAAACUCCAUGGAAGAUACUAGCAGUCCUGAACUGUGUCUGUGUUAUCCUGUCAGGUCAGUCACUCAGUCAUUUGGAGGUAAAACAACUGGUAUAGUCCAUCACACUCUUGAGAACUGG